UAGGGAAUCUUCGGCAAUGGGGGGAACCCUGACCGAGCAACGCCGCGUGAGUGAAGAAGGUUUUCGGAUCGUAAAGCUCUGUUGUUAAGGAAGAACGAGUGUGAGAAUGGAAAGUUCAUGCUGUGACGGUACUUAACCAGAAAGGGACGGCUAACUACGUGCCAGCAGCCGCGGUAAUACGUAGGUCCCGAGCGUUGUCCUGAUUUAUUGGGCGUAAAGCGAGCGCAGGCGGUUAGAAAAGUCUGAAGUGAAAGGCAGUGGCUCAACCAUUGUAGGCUUUGGAAACUGUUUAACUUGAGUGCAGAAGGGGAGAGUGGAAUUCCAUGUGUAGCGGUGAAAUGCGUAGAUAUAUGGAGGAACACCGGUGGCGAAAGCGGCUCUCUGGUCUGUAACUGACGCUGAGGCUCGAAAGCGUGGGGAGCGAACAGG
rnacentral:rRNA from 1 species